CCUGCCCAAUGAGUAAUUAAAUGGCCGCAGUAUUUUGACUGUGCAAAGGUAGCAUAAUUAUUAGUUUUUUAAUUGAGAGCUUGUAUGAAAGGUUGGACGAGAUAAAGUCUGUCUUUAUUUAAAUUAAAGUAGAAUUUAACUUUUAAGUUAAAAGGCUUAAAUGAAUAUAAAAGACGAGAAGACCCUAUAGAUCUUUAUUUAAUUUAAAAUUUUAAUAAUUUAGGAUUAUUAAAAUUUAAAAUUUUAAUUAAAUUUUAUUGGGGUAAUAUAAAGAUUUAAAUAAUUCUUUUUAUUUAUAUCAUUGAUGUAUGAAUACAUGAUCCAUUGAUUUUGAUUAUAAGAUUAAGUUACCUUAGGGAUAACAGCGUAAUUUUUUUGAAGAGUUCUUAUCGAUAAAAAAGUUUGCGACCUCGAUGUUGGAUUAAAAAAUAACUUGGGUGCAGAAGCUCGGGGAUUUGGUCUGUUCG
rnacentral:rRNA from 1 species